GACAGAGGGUGCGAACGUUGUUCGGAAUUACUGGGCGUGAAGCGCGUGUAGGCGGCAGCGUGUGUCGGGCGUGAAAUCCCACGGCUCAACCGUGGAAGUGCACUCGAAACUGCGCAGCUAGAGUCCUGGAGAGGAAGGUGGAAUGCUUGGUGUAGAGGUGAAAUUCGUAGAUAUCGAGAGGAACACCGGUGGCGAAGGCGGCGAUCUGGACGAUGACUGACGCUGAGACGCGAAAGCGUGGGGAGCAAACAGG
rnacentral:rRNA from 1 species